rnacentral:rRNA from 1 species
GAGAAUAAUUUUAAGUAAAACCUGCUCAAUGACAAGUAUAAAUAGCCGCAGUUCCCUGUGCUAAGGUAGCAUAAUAAUUUGCUUCUUAAUUAGAAGAUCGCAUGAAAGGUUACACACUAAAAAUCUGUCUCUAAACAACUCAAUUAACUUAAGAAAGAAGUCAAAACUCUUUUAAAAUAAAGCGGGACGACAAGACCCUGACAAACUUUCCAUUUAGUUGGGGAAACAUAUCAAAAAUUCUUUAUUUUCCAUUAACUACAUAACUUGAUAAUCAAAUGGUGUCUAGUUACUGCAGGGAUAACAGCGCUAUCUCUUUUAAGAGCCCUUAUCCAAAAAGAAGUUUGCGACCUCGAUGUUGAAUUAAUCCUCCUUUAUAAUGUAACAGUUAUAAAAGAUAGUCUGUUCGACUAUUAAAAGAUU